CCUAUUUCCACUCACACGUUACUUUUGUCUUCCACCCAUCCACCACCUAUCUCCACUUUACAACACUAAAAAUUAGCUAAAUUCCCAUCCACCACCUACUCCCACCCUGUACUUACUCUCUUUCCAGCUUUAAACCAUGAUGGAAAGCAAAUAUUGUAGUCAUGUUUCCACUCUUCUCCUACGCCAAUAAUUCACAAGUCACCAACCUCAACAUAUACUCAUUCAGAGUUCAAGUUUAGCUCAACAUAUACUCAUUCAGAGUUCAAGUUUAGCCAAGAACAACAGGAAGCAUAUGACAACAGCCGCACGCCUCAAUUUAUAAUUCCAAAGGCUUCGAGCAUCAGAAGGAUUAGCACUGCUAUUCCGAUUCAGAGAUAAGGUUAAACGACAGGCUUUGCCUAUACAGGUGGGCAUUAUUUUAUUAUUACGUAUAUAGAGAUCCCCUGCGUGACGUAGGCCUCAUAUGCGAAUAUAUAUGCAUGAUAUGUUUUGACUAUUUAUUCAGUUCUUAUGAAAUGCUUAUAUGUUUAAUGCCCUUUAUGAAAAUGAAAAUGUUAUGAAAAUGAAAUGUUUAUGAAAUGAUUGACUGCCAAAAUGUUUAUGUUUUUAUAUGUAUCCUAUCUGUGUUGGUUCGCCAACUUUAAAGGAAAUCCAAUUGGGAUCCUAUGCUAGACAAAGGUCGCUAGCUAGGGUUAACGUGUACACUUAUGGAGACCGCGAGUCGCUUGCGACCGGUCUUGGCGUCCGUGGUAAGGAGGCCUCCUUCCCGGCGCGUGACAGAAAGGAACAGAUAUGGAUCAUAAGAAGGAAAAUGAUCGGCCGAUCGACUUUAUGAAAAUGAAAUAAAUAUUUUAGUAAGCGCAGGUCAUUUAAGAAAACCCCUGUGUGUUACUGUUAUGGCAGUUCAAUUUAUAUAUGUAUGCAUGUUGUAUUUUCGGCUAUGCCCACUGAGUAUUUUUAUACUCAGCCCUGCAUGUAUUUCUAAAUGUGCAGGUUGAGCAACUGAUGGAAUGGAAUGAUGUUGAGCGGGUGUUCCUUUGACAUUUCAAGAAAUGUAACCUUGAGUAUACAUCUUCAUAUGUAUAUCUCACACGUUUUCGCUGCAAAACACUUUGAUUAGGAUAACUUUAUGUUAUGAAAUUGUGACACGUGUUAUUGGGUAGCCCACCUUAAUCAGUUCUCAUUUAUGUGUAUGUUUUAUAAGUAUCCAAAUAAUCAUAUAUGAUCCUAGCAUUUUAUCUAUGAGUGACAUUUCCAUAUACUUUAAUGUUAAGUAAUUGUCCAUUU